ensembl:lncRNA
UUUCUGUGCCCAGUGUCAGCCUGUGGUCAAGCCUUCACCCGGGACCCACCUCUGGGGCCCUGACCUCUUCCCUUUCCCUGAUCCCAGGCUUCUCCUACUUGGCACUGAGGUCCCACCAGAGCCUCCCCUCUGACCCCAGAGGCAGGGGAAUGAGCAGGCUGACCUAAGGACUUGUCUGUCUGGCUCCCGAUCCUCGCUCUCCUCUGUGCCCCCAACCCCCAAUCUGGGCUCUAUGCUGACCCAGCUUUGUCUCUGAGGGUCACUUGGGUUCCCCAUCUCAUGGGGAAGAGGGAACUGGACUGCAGAUGAGGAAACAUGGGGAGACAUCAGAGGGACACAGAACCCUCAGGGCUGGGGACCGAAGUCAUAGGGCCAGGACACUCUGGGACCUUGGGUCUAGGGAUCCGGGUCAGGGACUCGGCAGAGGUGGAGGGGCUCCCCCAGGCCUCCAUGGGGCUGCCGUGAAGAUCCUGGGCCGGCCAGGGACCCAGGGAAAGUGCAAGGGGAAGACGGGGGAGGAGAAGGUGCUGAACUCAGAACUGGGGAAAGAGAUAGGAGGUCAGGAUGCAGGGGACACGGACUCCUGAGUCUGCAGGACACACUCCUCAGAAGCAGGAGUCCCUGAAGAAGCAGAGAGACAGGUACCAGGGCAGGAAACCUCCAGACCCAAGAAGAAUCAGAGAGGAACCUGAGCUCAGAUCUGCGGAUGGGGGGACCGAGGACAGGCAGACAGGCUCCCCCUCGACCAGCACAGAGGCUCCAAGGGACACAGACUUGGAGACCAACGGACGCCUUCGGGCAACGGCUCGAACACACAUGUCAGCUCAAAAUAUACCUGGACUGACCCACAGGAGGCCAGGGAGGCCACAUCAUCCACUCAGGGGACAGACAGACAGACUGCCAGCCCCAGGCAGACCCCGGUCAACCAUCAGAUGGGCAGGCAAGGAGAGUGAGGGUCAGGUGUCUGUGUGGGAAACCAAGAGCCAGGGGGUCUCAGGACAGCGCUGGCAGGGGUCCAGGCUCAGGCUUUCCCAGGAAGAUGGGGAGGUGCCUGAGAAAACCCCACCCACCUUCCCUGGCACAGGCCCUCUGGCUCACAGUGAUGCCUGGACUCGGGGUCCUGCUGGGCUCUCAAAGGAUCCUGUGUCCCCCUGUGACACAGACUCAGGGGCUCCCAUGACGGGCACCAGACCUCUGAUUGAGUGAUCUUCUUCCCCUCGCCCACUUUGCAGGUCAGCCCAAGUCCCCACCCUCGGUCACCCUGUUCCCGCCCUCCACGGAGGAGCUCAACGGCAACAAGGCCACCCUGGUGUGUCUCAUCAGCGACUUCUACCCGGGUAGCGUGACCGUGGUCUGGAAGGCAGACGGCAGCACCAUCACCCGCAACGUGGAGACCACCCGGGCCUCCAAACAGAGCAACAGCAAGUACGCGGCCAGCAGCUACCUGAGCCUGACGAGCAGCGACUGGAAAUCGAAAGGCAGUUACAGCUGCGAG